UGAUGAGUUGAUGAGAGAGAAUUUCCCUAUAGGUUUGAUUGGAUGAUAUGAUGCCCUAAAGACUGAUCCGAAUAUAAUCAUCC